rnacentral:rRNA from 1 species
CAACGAACAUUCCGCAAUGGACGCAAGUCUGACGGAGCGACGCCGCGUGCAGGAUGAAGUCCCUCGGGAUGUAAACUGCUGUCAGGGGUGAGGAAUCAAUUGACCAACCCCAGAGGAAGCAUCGGCUAACUCCGUGCCAGCAGCCGCGGUAAUACGGAGGAUGCAAGCGUUGUUCGGAAUCACUGGGCUUAAAGAGCGUGUAGGUGGGGUGUCAGGCGUCGGGUGAAAUCCCUCGGCUCAACCGAGGAACUGCCUGGCGAACCGGCAUUCUUGAGGCAGGUAGAGGUGGCUGGAACGACGGGUGGAGCGGUGAAAUGCGUAGAUAUCCGUUGGAACGCCGGCGGCGAAAGCGAGCCACUGGGCCUGUCCUGACACUGAGACGCGAAAGCGUGGGGAGCAAACAGGAUUAGAUACCCUGGUAGUCCACGCCGUAAACGAUGCGCACUAGGUAUGAGAGGUUUUAACGCCGAUUGUGCCGGAGC